AACGUAGGAGGCAAGCGUUAUCCGGAUUUACUGGGCGUAAAGCGCGUGCAGGCGGUUUGGAAAGUUGGAUGUGAAAGCUCCUGGCUCAACUAGGAGAGGUCGUUCAAAACUUCCAGACUUGAGGGCAGUAGAGGGAGGUGGAAUUCCGUGUGUAGUGGUGAAAUGCGUAGAUAUACGGAGGAACACCAGUGGCGAAAGCGACCUCCUGGGCUGCACCUGACGCUCAGACGCGAAAGCUAGGGGAGCAAACGGG
rnacentral:rRNA from 1 species